UACAGAGGUGGCAAGCGUUGUUCGGAAUUACUGGGCGUAAAGGGCGCGUAGGCGGCCAUCUAAGUCAGACGUGAAAUCCCCCGGCUCAACCUGGGAACUGCGUCUGAUACUGGACGGCUUGAGUUUGGGAGAGGGAUGUAGAAUUCCAGGUGUAGCGGUGAAAUGCGUAGAUAUCUGGAGGAAUACCGGUGGCGAAGGCGGCAUCCUGGACCAAUACUGACGCUGAGGCGCGAAAGCUAGGGGAGCGAACGGG
rnacentral:rRNA from 1 species